AAAUGGAGGCUUAGGGUAAUGACCUAUGAUUUGACAGACUGUGCUUUCUAUGUCUGCCUGUCAUUUCUGUAGGCCAAUACUCUGUACGCCCUCACUACUCU
rnacentral:pre_miRNA from 11 species